UCUUGUCACAUGCGUGCACGUCCGCCCGGGCUCGCACCAGCAUCUUCGUGCAAGCUAGCAUGCCCUCGGCCGCUGCCGAGUGCAGCGGGGUGACCGCGGAGGUAGUAGAGCUGAGAGAAAGCCAUGAUAGAUGCACUAAUUCUGACCAUAAUGUGUGCAUUACGACACAAAUGCAGCAUGUAUUCCUUCCACUCCACAUCGUGUGUCAGUAUCGUCCAUCUCAGCAGAUAACUGAAAUAGUGUAUUCCAGCUAUGAAAUACUAAAUCGUCGUUGGGGAGCAGUUAUUUAACCUGACAGUGAUUCAACAAAGAAUAAAUUCAAAGUGUACAAAGUGCACCAUACACGUUGACAUCAGCGCCGCGGUCCAGCAGGUACUCGAGGCAGGCGGAGGUGUUGGGUGAGCUCUGGGUGGACAGGACCAUGUGGACGGGCCGUCUGCCCUGACCACAGCCGCCGUUGAUGUCCACGAGGCCGGAUUCCAGGAGCAGCUUUACGCACGUCAACUGACCGUGGAGACAGGCCACGUGGAGCGCAGACACACCCUGGAGACCGGGAGAGAAGCGUCAGAAACAUAAGAUAAUCAAAAACACCCGCAAUUACAGCUGCCACCGCGUGUUUCAGGCUGAGGGUCAGCCAUUCGGGGUCCCCAGCCGCCGCCGCUUUGAACUGGUCGUCUUUCGGAAGAGCUCUGAUGAGACUCGUCAAGGGCUCCACGGGUCCGACGGCCGUGAGAGACCCUGAAAAGGGCGAGGAAAAACGCAGGCCUGGAAAAAAAACGGCAAGUAGCGGAGGAAAUAAAAGGACAAAAACACACAACAGCCCCUGCGACAGUGAAUCCAAUCAUAACAAGAAGGAGCCGUUGAUGGCGGACAAUCGACGGAUAAACGCGGCAUCUGUCACACAAAAAGAAUCCUCCUACUUUGGACAAAUAGUCUAACUGAAUGGUGGUGUGUAGUGAAAGAAUAUUCUCUUUUUGUAUGUGUUUUGUAUGAAUAAGAAAAGCAGCAUUUUAACAAUGCCGAAGGCAAAGAGGUCAAAUUGUUUAAAUGAUUAGAAACAUCAGCGCUGGUGCAAUAGGCCUACUUGAGUUGAGCGGCCAUUUUCCUCAAUGGGAACCAAAACAUACUUUUGAGAUUUUCUGGAAAGAAGUUCUCCAAAUUGCCCUCCGCCCACUUUCCGAAAUGUGACUAAUCAUAAGCUUACUCGGGGGCUAACGGCAAGGCUGUUGGACUGCUAAUUAUGGGAUGUCAGGAAUAAGCCUGCAGUAAUAAAAAACAC